CUGCACCUGGCAAUGGAACCUCUUUUAGGGCUGAAAUUGAAGACAACAAUUAUUCUGACCCAAGAGCUUGGGCUAUAAACUCCUUGGGAAGUCGGCCCACUUUUCACACAGACAAAUGGCAACUCAUGAACAAAGAGGCACAGGAAGAGGGAAAGGGGUCAGGGAAGGUAACAUUUCCUGAGUGCCCACACAAGGCCUGGAACGCCACAUGCUUCAGUUCAUUUACAGACAGCCACUUGAGGAACACAGUGACACUGAGGUGGAGAGAAAGAAAUGAGCAUUUUGGCAGUGGAUGGGGUCUGGGGCAGGUGCUGACAGCUGAGCCAUUCCACGCACCUUCGGAGCAAAGAACUGCCGGAAACCAGGGCCAAGUUCAGAGCCUGAAAUUUUUUUCAAAGGCUACAAGGAGAAACCUGGGGGGCCUGAUCACACAUUACAUAAGCCGUAUGUGAGCAGAGGAUGCCACUGAUGCUAGGAACCCAGUGCCUGUCGGAAUUGCGCAAGGUUUACGCAGAAGCACUUAAGUGUUGCAACAUGACCCCACAUCUUUACCAAAAAUGUGAAACAUUCACGCAGCACACACUUUAAAAACACUAAAGCUUGUCUCCGCCAGGUGGCUAAGGCUGCUUGAUGGGGCUGACAGGAGAGGAGCUUUGCAGGGGGGCCUGACUUACUGUAGCUCUUGGCCCAGGGAGCUGAACACGCAGUACUUUGUACCCCAAUAGCCCUGGGCAGCCCAAGCCUCUGAUAAAAUGUACUUUUCUGUGUGUUUGUUUUUCCUGGCAGUCUCAUUUUGGGUUAUAAAUGGCUCCUUAUUUCCAUCCCAUAGAUCCAUUCUUGCCUCUGUUGCGUUCUCUUUCGGCUUUCCAAAAUAACCGAAAGGUUGGUAAAAUCAACGCUGGUGAACGGCUUGUUCUGACCUUGAGCAGAAGCCGAAUUUCCACAUUGCUCAUGCCAUCUACAGUUGCUCCCGUGUCCGAGAGGUUGGCUGGAAAGGCCUCCUGAAAGCAGGGGAUAUAAUUAUACUUACACUAAAGCACUUGUUGCCAUUAAAUGCCAGGAAGUGGCAUGGACCUUCCCUUGCUCCUGCCCUGCAACCUUUUUGGAGGACUAUUGGGCAAUCAUCAGAGGUUAUAGAGUUGGAACAGCAUUCCCCCCAGAUAGGUCAUUUUCCCUGCAGGACAGCUUGGAGGCAAAUUUUAUUAAGUAUCAAGUAGCUGACCCAAAGCAGUAUAAAUAGCGAGAGAACAUAUGACAAACCCAGAAAUGAAUGUGUUUAAACCCCAGGCUGAAGAUAUAUGAUGUGUUUACUGUUAUCAGCACCUGCAUGAAGAUAUUUUUGCCCAGUAGCCAUCCAGGAAAAGAUGAAACAUAUAAGUGACGUUAUUAAGGCUUAAUCUUAGAAAAAUAAUUUUGACCCUACUUUUGGAAGUCAGUGGACCACAGAGUUAAUUUGGGGAAGGGACCUGAGGAUAGGUUGGAUGUGAUUGGCUGUCAUAGGAAGUACAGACAGACACUUAUAAAACAUCCCAAGUUCAGCCAGUUAAGAGCCAGGGGGAAAAACAUGGAACUGUAGUUUACAUUGGGUAGGAACUGUAAGCAGUCACUAUCAGGCAAAAGGGACUUCCAAGUUGGAAUUUUUCGAGAGAGACAUGGAGAACAUUUUAAUUCAGGCCUGUUUUCCUCCAUUGUUCCCUACCUUUAUUCUAGGACAUACCACAGAGUACAAACCAUGCUUUAGUGACAUUGAUCAGGCCACAGAUGACUGAGUUAUGAGAGGCCAUGAGCUUUCCAACAUCAGUUUCCUAAACCAGCUGCUUCUCAUCAGUCUGGUCCCCACUGGCCAGAGCUAUUGACAUCCUGGAAGAUAAUCCUAUAUUCCUACAAAGGUAGGAGAAGGUUCUGGGGAGAAAUAGUGUAAGUUUUUAUUUUUAAUUUUUGAUUAUUAUGGGUACAUAAUACAUGUAUGUAUUCAUGGCAGGGGUACAUGUGAUGUUCUGAUAUAGGCAUGUGGUGUAUAAUGAUCACAUCAUGCUAAUUGGGGUGUCCAUCACCUCAAGCACUUAUUAUGUCUUUUUGUUAGGAACAUUCCAGUUCUACUCUUUUAGUUUCAUUUUUGUUUGUUUUUGAGAGGCAGGGUCUCGCUCUGUUGCCCAGGCUGGAGGGCAGUGGCAAGAUCACUGCUCACCGCAGCCUUGACUUCCUGGGCUCAAGUGAUUCUCUGGCCUCAGCCUCCCAUGCAGUUCUAUUAAUAGAACUAAGACAAAAAGGGUCAUAGGCUUUCAGAGGCCACAGUGACCACAAGAGGCUGAUGCACCACCAUGCCUGGCUAAUUUUUGAGUCUUUCCAAGAGAAGAGGUCUCCCUAUGGUGCCCAAACU
rnacentral:lncRNA from 1 species